AUUCAUCUUCGGGGUCGGGUGCAAUUCCCAACCGGCAGUAAAUUAAGCCUGCGACGUAAAAUGUUUCAUUUUACCUGAUUCAGUGAAAUUCUGAAGCCGACAGUAUAGUCUGGAUGGGAGAAGAUGGAG
rfam:Streptomyces sp. WAC00263 NODE_61_length_110368_cov_117.205841, whole genome shotgun sequence.